CCGCACGCGCGCUACANGACGAAGUCACGCGAGUGAUCUCCCUUCACCGGAAGGUGUGGGUAAUCUUGUGAAANUCGUCGUGCUGGGGAUAGACCUUUGCAAUUAUAGGUCUUCAACGAGGAAUUCCUAGUAAGCGCAAGUCAUCAGCUUGCGUUGAUUACGUC
rnacentral:rRNA from 1 species